rnacentral:piRNA from 1 species
UGGAAACCAGGCAGCCUUCCAACUAUUCC